rnacentral:lncRNA from 1 species
AUGGCCCGCCGCCGCCCCCAGCCUUCGCCUCCGAGGUCUCCGUGGCAGAGGCAAAAACAAAGAUGGCAGGCCGUUCCGGCCGUCGACCCCGUUAGCGCGGUGACGUACGUCACUUCCUCUCAAAGUCUAUUGGCCAGAACUAGUCACAUGGCCUGCCUAGCUGCAAGGGAGGCUGGAAACAGGAGCCGGCCUUUCGUCCUGGAUGAGGAUGUGCCGGCUGCUGGGAGCCACCUGGAAGGGGCCAGCGCUGGCAGGGAGGCCUUUGAUGUGAUUCACUGGAAGCUUGAUGCCUGCGCAGAGGUAUUCUGUAGCAGGCCAAGCCCUUUCAUCUCGGCAAAGAGAGACACCCCCUCACAUGGCAGGCCCACCUGGAAGACAGACAGCCCAGAGCCAGAGGGUCAGUUGAGGACCACGGAAUGGGAGGGGCCUGGAGGUGGGAGCAGGUGA